CAUUGCGACAAGUAGCUCGAUUUUAGAUUUGAAUUAUUCACGAUACUUAUAAAUCGAAUGAUCAAUCGAGUAAAUCGAACCAAUCGAUUAAAUGAUAUAAUCGAUUAAUCUACGUAUUUCUACGUAUCGAUAUAAGUUACGAAUUUGCUUCAUAAUUCUAACUCGGUUUGAAAUAAUGUUGUAAUGUUUGUAAUAUGUAUAAUAAUCUGUUGAAACUUCGUACAGCACAAUUAUCACGAUCGCGUCGAGUUGAAUAAUUUUCACGAGCGAUGGAUUGUCGAGAAAUUACGUCUUUAUUCUCCGAGCGACAUAUUGGCACUGGCGAGAAAACAAAUGGGGAUAAAUGAUCAUCACUAUAAGUAACUAUGUAAAUGAAAGAUGCACGUGCCGAUUCUGUAAAAUCGCUACUCUGAAAUGAUCACUGUGUUCUAUACAUUGAGUGAAAAGAAAUAAAGGAACCGACUGCUUUAUCCGGAAUCUAUGAUCAUAGUGGCGAGAAGGAAAGGGUAAGAAUUACCGUGCUACAAUGGCAGUUUUGCCAACCCUCGCGCUACCGAGCAUAACCAAACGGUAGCAAUUGCGCGGGGGUGGUUUACAGGCAUCCUCCUGCGAGGACGUAGACGCUGGACUAGGGCUGACUGGGAUCGGAAGGAUGCCAUCCUCCGAGCCUGAGGGCCCCUCCAAUUCGGGGCCCGCCUGUGCUCCCCUUCGACCUCGAUUGAUUCGUUGCUCAGCCUCCUCUGGUGCACUUCCGCUUCUGCACAGCCUCUGCGCGCAGCACACGAAUCGGCCGCACGCCUCCAGCUGAAAUAAAAUGUUCUAGGUUGUAUACAGAAAGAAGAAGGAUCGAUAUUUGCAUUAAAUUCGAGCGAAUACUUUUCUUGCGUUAAAACACACGUGUCGAGAAGUAAACACGUUUUGGUAGGUUCGCAAACAUUCCGCUGUUAAAUCAAUGAUUUUUUCAAAUACCACAUUCAAAUAUCACAUCCUCUCCCUUAUGUGAAAUUUCUCCACGCACAGUAAAAAUAUCGCCGGAUAUGAAUAUUUAAUUCGAUCGUUCAUUAUUUCUACGUAAAAUUCAUUGGAAAAUCGAGAAUAUGAAGAUAACACGAGACGAAGUUUUAUUCAAUAAUCAGUUCUUUUACCGUCAUUGUACAAACGUGACGGGCGUAAAAUUGUUUCAAAUUAAUACAACUAAUCAGUUAUUUCUUCCUUGUUUCAUCAAAACGAAAACAAAAAUUUAUACAAUUUUUUCUUGCGUACGGGUAUAACAUUUCAAGAAAAUUAAAGAUUGAGUUACAAAACGGUUAUCGCAAGAAAACGAAAUAAAAUUUCUUUUUAUCAAAAUAUAUUUUGUCUAAUCAGUAAGUUUUGUGGAAAUAUCGACAAGAUCGUAUUUCGCGUGUACCGAAAGUGUCGAAUUCUCGUAGAAGACGUCAACACCGAUGGACAAAUGUUAAUACGAAACGUGAUACGGUUUCUUUUACUGAACAUGAUACGAUGGAAUCGGGGAUCCGGAAUGUCGAGGCAAAUUCGUGUCGUGUAUUCUCUUUAGAUUUGACGUGACAAAUUUUUAUGUGUUACCUGUACGCAAUUGAGCAUGCGUAACCGAAGUUAUGUUUCGCUACUAUGUACCGGAAAGUUUGUUAAAUUUCACACAACGCUAUUUGAGUCUCCAGUUGAAUAAAAUGACACACAUUUAUUUUC